AAACAGAAGUGAAACAACAGACAGGAAACUCAUCACUAGUUAAUGAGUGUGAGCACCUGCAGCUUCAGUUUUAAAAUGACCACUUCUCAAAAAAGGCUCUAGUGCUGAAAUUUACAGUGUGCAUACACUCACGCAGAGUCGUUCGAGCUCUUCAGACAACAGUACCUCAGAACAAACCAGUAACAGACCCAAAAGAACCAUGAUAAGUCCCAGAACAGUUUGUUUUGUGUAUUUUGCAUUGCUCUUCGGAUCGGCACAUGCUGAUGACCAAG